UGGGGAAUAUUGCACAAUGGGGGGAACCCUGAUGCAGCAACGCCGCGUGAAGGAAGACGGUUUUCGGAUUGUAAACUUCUAUCGACAGGGAAGAAGAAAGUGACAGUACCUGAAUAAGAAGCCCCGGCUAACUACGUGCCAGCAGCCGCGGUAAUACGUAGGGGGCAAGCGUUAUCCGGAAUUACUGGGUGUAAAGGGUGAGUAGGCGGCAUGGUAAGCCAGAUGUGAAAGCCCGCAGCUUAACUGCGGGAUUGCAUUUGGAACUACUAAGCUAGAGUACAGGAGAGGAAAGCGGAAUUCCUAGUGUAGCGGUGAAAUGCGUAGAUAUUAGGAAGAACACCGGUGGCGAAGGCGGCUUUCUGGACUGAAACUGACGCUGAGGCACGAAAGCGUGGGGAGCGAACAGG
rnacentral:rRNA from 1 species